rnacentral:lncRNA from 1 species
AGUGACUCUCGUAUGUAUUUAUAUUGAUCUAAUAAAGGGGGCAUAUUGCUUUGUCUUCUCCUUUUGAAUAAAAUAUUGCGGAUUCCAGGUUAGUCCAUGACAUCUUGCACUAUUAUUAUUUUCAUAUCGUUCGGUCAUGCAAGUGAAAGGCAAUAAUGACGAUAUAUGAUGAAGUAAUUGUGGCAGAGAGAAGCUUGUAUGAACUCAACUUGUUUUUGUUUUUGUAAAUAUGUUUAGAUGAGUAUCCAUGAUUUAGCGUAUUAUGACCAAACACGUUUGCAAUGACAAUUAGAGAUUAUAGUUGUUCAUGCCAUGCUUAAGUAGGUAGGAGUGGAUAAUGAUUUAUCUUGGAUGUCAACAUGCAUUAAAACGGUUUUGAUGUAGUAUGAUGAUAUGGUAUCCUCCUCUUAAUGUUCGAGUGGCUUGACUUGGCACAUGUUCACGCAUGUAGUUG